GUGUCAGCAGCCGCGGUAAUACGAAGGGGGCUAGCGUUGCUCGGAAUCACUGGGCGUAAAGGGCGCGUAGGCGGCCUGAUCAGUCGGGGGUGAAAGCCUGUGGCUCAACCACAGAAUGGCCUUCGAUACUGUCGGGCUUGAGACCGGAAGAGGUAAGUGGAACUGCGAGUGUAGAGGUGAAAUUCGUAGAUAUUCGCAAGAACACCAGUGGCGAAGGCGGCUUACUGGUCCGGAUCUGACGCUGAGGCGCGAAAGCGUGGGGAGCAAACAGGAUUAGAUACCCUGGUAGUCC
rnacentral:rRNA from 1 species